rnacentral:lncRNA from 1 species
UGUUAGUUGACGAUGCAAUCAGCAUGCUGAUUAAGGUUGCUUGGUUUUUUACUAAACAUUAACUGAAUGAAAACGGUAGUCCUUGUUCUGCUUGGGGGGCUUUAAGGAAGCAAAUGGACUUUCAGAACAGAGAUUGUCAAUAAAGUUGUGGAUUUGUCUAAUGAGGAGAAGAGCUGUAGCCAUUCCUUUUGGGCAAAUACUAAGAAGAAUCAACAGCCAUUUCUAAGAGGGAUAUCCAUCUGGAGUUCUGGAUGUGUCCUCUGAGAAGGUUCCCAUGACACCAAGUGCUCUGGAGGUCAACACCGAUCCUGAGUGAAGAUUGCAGCAACUGAGUAUGGAUGCACUGCUCUCCAGGCUCCUGGAUGUGGAGCUGUUCAUUUCUCCUCCAGAGCUGGAUGGAGGCCCAGGCUGCCUCGCAGCAUUGAGCGAUGCCAUGCCAAUUCCAGGCAAGGUCUUUAUUGCUGGAACUGUUGCAUAAUGACAGCUUUAUUCAUGUGAAAAUGCAGAAUGCAUUUUGACUGUAUGAAAUUGUUUAUGUUCAUCAGAAAUGUUAUUUGUCUUCACAAAGUCUGGUUUCAAUGAACCAGCUAUGUAACAG